GCUGGGCGUGGUGGCACACACCUGCAAUCCCAGCUACUCCAGGGGGCUGAGGCAGGAGAAUCACUUGAGCCCAGGAGUUCGAGGCUGCAGUGAGCUGUGAUCACUCCACUGCACUCCAGCCUGGGCGACAGAGUGAGAGCCUGUCUCUG
rnacentral:SRP_RNA from 1 species